GACGAACGCUGGCGGCGUGCUUAACACAUGCAAGUCGAACGGAAAGGCCCUGCUUUUGUGGGGUGCUCGAGUGGCGAACGGGUGAUUAACACGUUAGUACCCUGCCCUUGACUUUGGUUUAACUUCAGGAAACUGGGGCUAAUACCGGAUAGGAGCUCCUGCUGCAUGGUGGGUGUUGGAAAGUUUCUGCGGUUGGGGAUUGACUCGCGGCUUAUCAGCUUGUUGGUGGGGUAGUGGCUUACCAAGGCUUUGACGGGUAGCCGGCCUGAGAGGGUGACCGGCCACAUUGGGACUGAGAGACGGCCCAGACUGCUACGGGAGGCAGCAGUGGGGAAUAUUGCACAAUGGGCGGAAGCGUGAUGCAGCAACGCCGCGUGCGGGAUGACGGCCUGCGGGUUGUAAACCGCUUUCGCCUGUGACGAAGCGUGAGUGACGGUAAUGGGUAAAGAAGCACCGGCUAACUACGUG
rnacentral:rRNA from 1 species